GACAGAGGGUGCAAACGUUGUUCGGAAUCACUGGGCAUAAAGCGCACGUAGGCGGCCCACUAAGUCAGUUGUGAAAGCCCCCGGCUCAACCGGGGAAUGGCAUCUGAUACUGGUGGGCUUGAGGAAGGUAGGGGUGGGCGGAACUCCAGGUGGAGCGGUGAAAUGCGUAGAUAUCUGGAGGAACACCGGUGGCGAAAGCGGCCCACUGGACGUUCACUGACGCUGAGACGCGAAAGCGUGGGUAGCAAACAGG
rnacentral:rRNA from 1 species